rnacentral:rRNA from 1 species
CCUACGGGAGGCAGCAGUGAGGAAUAUUGGUCAAUGGACGAGAGUCUGAACCAGCCAAGUAGCGUGAAGGAUGACUGCCCUAUGGGUUGUAAACUUCUUUUAUAUGGGAGUAAAAUGUUCCACGUGUGGGUGUUUGUAUGUACCAUAUGAAUAAGGAUCGGCUAACUCCGUGCCAGCAGCCGCGGUAAUACGGAGGAUUCGAGCGUUAUCCGGAUUUAUUGGGUUUAAAGGGAGCGUAGGUGGAUGGUUAAGUAAGUUGUGAAAGUUUGCGGCUCAACCGUAAAAUUGCCGUUGAAACUGGCCGUCUUGAGUGCAGUAGAGGUGGGCGGAAUGCGUGGUGUAGCGGUGAAAUGCUUAGAUAUCACGCAGAACUCCGAUUGCGAAGGCAGUUCACUGGACUGCAACUGACGCUGAGGCUCGAAAGUGUGGGUAUCAAACAGGAUUAGAUACCCUAGUAGUC